GUUCCAUGCGAAUGGGCCCUGCAGUCGGUCCUGGAAUAAGGGAACAAACUGCACGAAAGCCUCUAGCUAUAGAGGCUAGGGAGGGUUCGCCUGAAUCCCCUCGUUCGGUUCUUUCUAUCUACCGAACAGGGGCCGUUCGGUAGUUAGGAACCGAACGGACCGGGCUCGUGGAGGUUUCAGCUGUGUUCACCUAUUCGAGUGUCCGAUUUGAGUUCCA